rnacentral:rRNA from 1 species
AGUGAACGCUGGCGGUAGGCCUAACACAUGCAAGUCGAACGGCAGCACAGUAAGAGCUUGCUCUUACGGGUGGCGAGUGGCGGACGGGUGAGGAAUACAUCGGAAUCUACUUUUUCGUGGGGGAUAACGUAGGGAAACUUACGCAAAUACCGCAUACGACCUACGGGUGAAAGUAGGGGAUCUUCGGACCUUGCGCGAUUGAAUGAGCCGAUGUCGGAUUAGCUAGUUGGCGGGGUAAAGGCCCACCAAGGCGACGAUCCGUAGCUGGUCUGAGAGGAUGAUCAGCCACACUGGAACUGAGACACGGUCCAGACUCCUACGGGAGGCAGCAGUGGGGAAUAUUGGACAAUGGGCGCAAGCCUGAUCCAGCCAUACCGCGUGGGUGAAGAAGGCCUUCGGGUUGUAAAGCCCUUUUGUUGGGAAAGAAAAGCAGCAGGUUAAUACCCCGCUGUUCUGACGGUACCCAAAGAAUAAGCACCGGCUAACUUCGUG